UACUAUGGAGAGUUUGAUCCUGGCUCAGGAUGAACGCUAGCGGCAGGCCUAAUACAUGCAAGCCGGACGGCAAGUUGAGUAGCAAUACUUGACCUAGAGUGGCGUAAGGGUGCGUAACACGUAUGC
rnacentral:rRNA from 1 species